GUAGUUAUGUAUAUUGGUCGACAUUUUCGAACCGCAACAGGGACGAUAGUGAACACAAUGAGAUUGUUAACAAUAUGCAGUCAUCUAUUCCAGUUCUUACUGUAUUUGGUUUUACUUCUGUUGCUGAGUGUACCUAAUGUAUAUAGCCAGUCAGUUGUAACAUCUAAUAAAGUGGCC